UACAUGGGGUGCAAACGUUGCUCGGAAUUAUUGGGCGUAAAGCGCACGUAGGCGGUUCGUUAAGUCGGAUGUGAAAGCCCUCGGCUCAACUGAGGAAGUGCACCCGAAACUGGCGAGCUUGAGUACGAAAGAGGAUCGCGGAAUUCCCGGUGUAGAGGUGAAAUUCGUAGAUAUCGGGAGGAACACCCGCGGCGAAGGCGGCGACCUGGACCCGACCCUGACGGCUGAGGCGCGAAAGGCC
rnacentral:rRNA from 1 species